rnacentral:tRNA from 1 species
GGGGAUUUAGCUCAGUGGUAGAGCACUUGCCUAGCAAGCUCAAGGCCCUAGGUUCGGUCCUCAGUUCUGAAAAAAAGAAACUAAACAGUAGAGCAAAUUCCUCUAAACUAGAGUGAAGACAAUCUCAUCCCAGAAUCUCUG